CCGAAGAAGGGUGUCGCAAGCUACAGAAAGCCCUGGUAAGCCGCAUGCAGGCCUGGAUCCAGGGAUUCCCCAAUGGGACUUCCCAUUCAAGUGUAAAAACCUUGAAUACUCCGAAAGGAGGGGGGACUCGCCGAAUCGAAACAUCCUAGUAGGCGAAGGAAAAGAAAUCAAUUACGAGAUACCGCUAGUAGGGCGACCGAAGGUGGUACAGCCCAAACUGAACUAGUUGGAGUGAUCCAACUAGGAUGUGGGGUUGCAGGACACUCCCACAAGUUAGUCUUUAAUCUCAAAUCUAAAGCUGCCUGGAAUGGCACACCAAAGAAGGUUACAGUCCUGUAGGAGAACGAAGUUAAAGACUAAGGGAGUGUCCAGAGUAGGAUGGACUGAUUUGUCCGUCUGAAGCAGGGAGUCACCGACUCCCAAGGCUAAAUAUGUGCUAAGACCGAUAGUAGACUAGUAAGGUGACUGAAAGCUGAAAAGUACCCUUGGCGGGGAGUGAAAAGGCUUGAAAUCAUCCACCGAAGUUGCAUGCGGCCCGAAAGGUCGAACGUCUCCAAAGGAACAGAAGGUAACCUCCUAGUACGAGGAGACCGGAUCAGGGUCGCAUGGUUCCGUUUGGAAUAACGGCCCUGGGAGUUUCUCUCUGUGGCGAGCUUAAUCCAGAAAAGGAAGAGGCAUAGUGAAAGCGAGUACCAAUAGCUAUGUUUUUUACAUAGUGAUUGGUGAGGGUCGAAAGAUCCUUUAGUCACAGGGUGAAGACCUGAAGCUGAGCGAUCUAAUCCUUGCCACGGUGAAGCUUCUCAUAUGAGAAGUGGAGGCCGGAAGGGAUACUGGGGUGCAAACCGUUCCUCUGAGCAAGGAUUAGGGGCGAAAGACCAAUCUAGCUCAGCGAUAGCGGGUUCCUACCGAAGUGGUGCCACAGACCAGUCCUCUCAGAGACAAGUGGCGCUGUAAAGCACUAAUUGGGGGUUCACCAUCGCGAGAUGGGGGUUCCCUAUUAGACUCAGAAGGUGUCACUAUCGAAGAAGAGAGGAAUCGGGUUUCAAGAAGCAAGUUCUUGAGCCGAAAGAAGGACAAUUCAGACUAGGGUUAAGGACUCUAAAUCCCGUCUAAAGUGUUAAUCUCGAAAGGUGUUUCAAGGCAAAAACAGCGGGGAGGUAGGCUUGGUAGUAGUCAUCCUCUAAGGAGUGUGUACCAACUCACCCGCCGAGCCUUGGAGCCCUGAAAAUGGACGAGGCUUAAGGCGGGUUCCGAUACCCUAGGGGAGUCUGAAAAGACUCAUCCGGUAGGUAGGCGUCCUUAAAAGUUAGAAGUUGGGUCGUAAGAUCCAGUGGACUUUUAAGGAAUGAUAAUCCAGGGGGCGGUAGCAACUUAGUCGAGUGAGAAUCUCGACCGCCGAAAGGGCAAGGGUUCCCCGACGCAUGAUCAUCAGUCGGGGGUUAGCCGGUCCUAAGUCCAGCUUUAGCUAAGUAUGGACGAAAGGGUAUCUGGUUAAUAAUCCAGAACUCCCUAGGUAGGUGUGGUAACACAAGCCUUAUUUCCGACGGUUUUAGAUAAGGAAGUUGGGCCUGUCGGCUCAGUUAACUGUUGAACUCCCCCAAGGACCAUAACGGUGAGAAGGGGAGGAAGACAGGAAUAGCCGCCCGUAUGUGGGUGGUGCUCCCUGAUUCUAAGAUCUCCUAAAAAGGAAGUAAGGAACGAUCCUAGGGAUCCGUACCCAGAACCAAGACAGGUGCCCCUGGGUGAGAAGCCCAAGGCGUGCUAGGCUAAAAGAGGUUAGGGAAUUCGGAGUAACUAGCUCCGUACCUUCGGAAGGAGGAGUGCCUGCGCACGAUGAAUGUGCAGGUCGCAGUGACUAGGGGGUCCCGACUGUUUAAUAAAAACACAGCGGGCUGCAAGGGCGUAAGCCUUAGUACAGCCCGUGAGUCCUACUCAGUGGAGUCUAGUGAAAGCCGAAUACAAUUGGCCUAAACUACUCUAAACAGUGGGAGUAACUGUGACUCUCUUAAGGUAGCCAUAUGCCUUGUCGGGUGAGUUCCGACGCGCAUGAACGGGUUAACGAGGGCCCCACUGUUCCCAACCUCUAACCUAGUGAAACCACUGGCCAGUGAACAGUCUGGCCACAUCCAACUGGGAGAGAAGACCCCGGCAGCUUAACCGCAACCUGGUGUUGCGGCUUUGUCCAGUGUACAAAGCAUAGGUGGGAGCACUGAAACCAGGGUUCCGGCUCUGGUGGAUGCAAUCCUGAGAUACCACCUACACUAGACGAAGCUGCUUACCCGAGGAGGGGACAGCAUCUGGCGGGCGGUUUGGCUGGGGCGGCACGCCUGUGAUAAGAAAUCGCAGGCCUACAAAGGUCAGCUCAUCUGGGACGGAAACCCAGAGUAGAGGACAAAGCCAAAAGCUGGCCUGACUGAGAAUCUCAAAAUGUGGUUCUCAGAGGCGAAAGCCGGUCUCAGCGAACCAUCAUGCCCCCAUCGGUGGGGGCUGGUGACAAGAGAAAAGUUACGCCGGGGGUAACAGGUGUGUCUCGGGUGAAAGUUCAGAUCGACCUCGAGGCUUCACACUCCGCUGUCGGCUCUCCGUAUCCUGCUGGUGUAUACGCUGGCAAGGGUGAGGCUGUUCGCCUAUCAAAACGGAUCGUGAGCUGGGUUUAGAACGCCGCGAGGCAGUUCGGUCUCCGCCUGUUGGGUGUGCCCGCUACCUGAGGGGAAGGAUCCCAUAGUACGAGAGGAACAGGGAUUCGAGGCCACUGGUCUACCAGUUGUCCGACAGGGCAGGCUGGGCAGCUACGCCUCAAGGAAUAACUGCUGGAAGCAUCUAAGCAGGAAGUCCACCCCAAAAAGAGGUAGCGCUGAGAGCUCCUCUAAA
rnacentral:rRNA from 2 species